AUUGAACGCUGGCGGCAUGCCUUACACAUGCAAGUCGAACGGUAACAGGCCGCAAGGUGCUGACGAGUGGCGAACGGGUGAGUAAUGUAUCGGAACGUGCCCAGUCGUGGGGGAUAACUGCUCGAAAGAGCAGCUAAUACCGCAUACGACCUGAGGGUGAAAGCGGGGGACCGAAAGGCCUCGCGCGAUUGGAGCGGCCGAUAUCAGAUUAGGUAGUUGGUGAGGUAAAGGCUCACCAAGCCGACGAUCUGUAGCUGGUCUGAGAGGACGACCAGCCACACUGGGACUGAGACACGGCCCAGACUCCUACGGGAGGCAGCAGUGGGGAAUUUUGGACAAUGGACGCAAGUCUGAUCCAGCCAUGCCGCGUGCGGGAAGAAGGCCUUCGGGUUGUAAACCGCUUUUGUCAGGGAAGAAAAGGCUCUUUCUAAUAAAGAGGGCUCAUGACGGUACCUGAAGAAUAAGCACCGGCUAACUACGUGCCAGCAGCCGCUGUAAAAC
rnacentral:rRNA from 1 species